rnacentral:rRNA from 1 species
CCUACGGGAGGCAGCAGUGAGGAAUAUUGGUCAAUGGGCGCAAGCCUGAACCAGCCAAGUCGCGUGAGGGAUGACGGUUUUCGGAUUGUAAACCUCUGUCCUCUGUGAAGAUAAUGACGGUAGCAGAGGAGGAAGCUCCGGCUAACUACGUGCCAGCAGCCGCGGUAAUACGUAUGGAGCGAGCGUUGUCCGGAUUUACUGGGUGUAAAGGGUGCGUAGGCGGCCCUGCAAGUCAGAAGUGAAAUCCAUGGGCUUAACCCGUGAACUGCUUUUGAAACUGCAGGACUUGAGUGGAGUAGAGGUAGGCGGAAUUCCCGGUGUAGCGGUGAAAUGCGUAGAGAUCGGGAGGAACACCAGUGGCGAAGGCGGCCUACUGGGCUUUAACUGACGCUGAAGCACGAAAGCGUGGGUAGCAAACAGGAUUAGAUACCCGGGUAGUC